AUGAAAGACCUCGGAGAAGCUGCUUACAUAUUGGGCAUCAAGAUCUAUAGAGAUAGAUCAAGACGCUUAAUUGGACUUCCACAAAGCACAUACCUUGAUAAAGUUUUGAAGAAGUUCAAAAUGGAUCAGUUAAAGAAAGGGUUCUUGCCUGUAUUACAAGGUGUGAAGUUGAGCCAGACUCAAUGCCCGACCACUGCAGAAGAUAGAGAGAAAAUGAAAGUCAUUCCCUAUGCUUCAGCCAUAGGUUGUAUCAUGUAUGCAAUGUUGUGUACCAGAUCUGAUGUGUGCCUUGCUAUAAGCAUGGCAGGGAGGUACCAAAGUAAUUCCGGAGUGGAG
rnacentral:rRNA from 1 species